rnacentral:rRNA from 1 species
CCAGACUCCUACGGGAGGCAGCAGUGGGGAAUAUUGGACAAUGGGGGGAACCCUGAUCCAGCGACGCCGCGUGAGUGAAGAAGUAUUUCGGUAUGUAAAGCUCUAUCAGCAGGGAAGAAAGAAAUGACGGUACCUGACUAAGAAGCCCCGGCUAACUACGUGCCAGCAGCCGCGGUAAUACGUAGGGGGCAAGCGUUAUCCGGAUUUACUGGGUGUAAAGGGAGCGUAGACGGCGAUGCAAGUCUGAAGUGAAAGGCGGGGGCCCAACCCCCGGACUGCUUUGGAAACUGUAUAGCUGGAGUGCAGGAGAGGUAAGUGGAAUUCCUAGUGUAGCGGUGAAAUGCGUAGAUAUUAGGAGGAACACCAGUGGCGAAGGCGGGUUCCUGGACAUUAACUGACGCUGAGGCACGAAGGCCAGGGGAGCGAAAGGGAUUAGAUACCCUCGUACUU